GGUGUUUCUACACAUGUGGCCAAUUCAAUGACCAUGAGAAGUGCUUCUUCUUCCAGUGGAUCGACGGCCCCGACAAGUUUGACCCACGGUUCUUGCUUUUUGCGGGUAUUUGCCAUAGGAAGUUUCCACGUGAUCGCUUCAAACGUUGGGUGCCGCCACCACCAAACCCCCCACCAAUGACUUCUGAGGAGAAGGAAGUAGCUACGGCAAGACGCCUUGAUGACCCUCCUAAGUGCUUUUGUGGUGACAAAGCUAUGGUAGAGCAGACGCGAGGUCUUGAGUUUGUGUGUCCCAACAAGCAUCCAGAUUAUUCUAUGGAAAAGUGUCGUUUUAGAGAGUGGCUAUAUGGUCCGAAGUCUCAUUGGCCGGAGGAAAAGAAGAAAAAGAAUGACAGGAUUAUUACCGCAGCGCCUCCGGUUAAAUGCAAGUGUGGUGUUGAGGCUAG